AAUGUUAGUACCAAAGUCCUGCAAAGGACGGAGGAACUUUUAGCACAGACAGCCCUUGCGGGUCAAUGUGUAUAACCACUUGUUGAAACACUUUGAUAGCUGUUUUGGCUGCACUCUCCGUUGCGUCAGCGGCGGAGGGAUAAGACAGCCGGCAGUCUUUAACCAAACUAGUUGAUGAAAUGUCAUGCUGUCUGAUACUGUUUAGUAUUUGAGAAAUCGAAUAACUAUUA
rnacentral:misc_RNA from 1 species